rnacentral:piRNA from 1 species
UGAGUGUCCAGAGAAAUCAGAAGGCAGGGA